rnacentral:rRNA from 1 species
UGGGGAAUAUUGCACAAUGGGCGCAAGCCUGAUGCAGCCAUGCCGCGUGUAUGAAGAAGGCCUUCGGGUUGUAAAGUACUUUCAGCGGGGAGGAAGGUGUUGAGGCUAAUAACCUCAGCAAUUGACGUUACCCGCAGAAGAAGCACCGGCUAACUCCGUGCCAGCAGCCGCGGUAAUACGGAGGGUGCAAGCGUUAAUCGGAAUUACUGGGCGUAAAGCGCACGCAGGCGGUCUGUCAAGUCGGAUGUGAAAUCCCCGGGCUCAACCUGGGAACUGCAUUCGAAACUGGCAGGCUAGAGUCUUGUAGAGGGGGGUAGAAUUCCAGGUGUAGCGGUGAAAUGCGUAGGGAUCUGGAGGAAUACCGGUGGCGAAGGCGGCCCCCUGGACAAAGACUGACGCUCAGGUGCGAAAGCGUGGGGAGCAAACA